GUGCUCAUUUUGGCACCAAAUAUAUUAAAACUGGAACAAUACAGAGAAGACUAGCAUGGCCUCUGUGCAAGGGUGACAUGCAAAUUUGUUAAGCAUUCCAUAUUGAA
ensembl:snRNA U6 U6 spliceosomal RNA